ACCCGGCGACUGCGCAGCACCCUCUGGCGGCCGCGGGGGGCUCGGCCGUCCUCUACCCUCACGCUCCGGAGCAGGAGGGCCUGGUGGGGCGGGGGUGGACAGAGCCGCUCCCCCAAGUCCGAGAAACACAGGGGCAACUUUGGAGGAAGGGAAUUAAAAGCGUCCGAGGCCGAGGUCCCCUUUUUGGGGUUCUGCGGCUGGCACUGAGGCCAAAAGCCCGGGGAAGUGGCCCGCGUAAAAGAAAAACCCUUGCUCCACUUUUCAAUGGCUGCCUGGAAUUCUACCAAUACAGGAUCUCCCCUUUACCUGCGGGCUUUGAUUCUUUUGAAAAUUCAAAUCCCUCAAGGAAGGGUGAUCCUUCAACGCAAGGGCAGAUGGCAGGCUACGUCAAAAAAUGACCAAUGUCAUCACCAGAAACACUUGGUUACACCAUAAUAGGUACAUUUUGUACGGUGAUGACACUUAGUAAGUAUCCUUUAAUCUUUCCAUCUGUUGUUUGUUGCGGGGCACCCUUUUGUUCUCUGAACGGCAGUGUUAUUUUAAGCCGCCCCUCCUCCGCAGUGGCCAUUCCCCCCAUUUCAGUUGGCUCCAAGGUGCAUCCUAAGCAUGUCUCCCCUCUUUCCACUCCUCACUCGCACAGCUGCUGCUUGAGUUGAGGCUCCCACAGCUCACUGUCUGGAUCCCUGCUACCCAGAUGGGAGCGGCUGGAGUCUGUCCACGGUGGACGGGGCUCUCUCAAGGCCUCUCUCUGCCCACACGCAGCACCCCCCACUGUAUCUGUGGAGGGGAGAGGCGGCCACCUCUGCCUGGUUGGGGAUUGUCUUCCCAAAGUCAGCUGACAGCUUCUUCACCUACCAUCUUGUCAUUUCUCUCCAGAAGAGUACUGCCAUUCCUCUCCACCUGGUGGCAGUGAGAAGAGGCUGGAGAUGAGCGGCGCCAUUCUCUGCCACGGCUCCCGGGUGGCCACGCGACCACGAGGGUCAACAGCUGACACACUCACCCCACUCUGCCCCCAUACAACCAUGCGUUUCUCACUUUCGGUACAGUAUUCAAUAAAUCACAUGAGAUACUCAA